CAGAAAAAUCCCAGUCAUCCUUCAGCUUUAUCCCCAGAGAUACACCAGCCCUUCCCUGGUGCAUGCAACACAUGCCUUCUCAAAGCUCCCCCUGUGCUCUCCUGCUUGCACUGACACUUGGCCUUGGUCACUGUUAAGCUCCCAGCUUGGUGCCACUCACUGCUCCUGGCUAUGAGGAUCUGCCUUGCCUCCUACUGGGGAUGGCAAGGACCACAGCUGACACUUCUUUUGCUUUCAAAUGUCCAUCAGUGUUGAGGGUGAUUUAAUCUAUCCAUGCAUCCCUAUGUUCAAUAGAGAUUAUUAUCACUAUGCAAUUUGGAUGCUUACACUAAAGCCAGAGACCCAAAGCCAGGUUAUCUUGUCCACAAUUUAGAAGUAAUUUUUAGCAAGUUUGUGAAUUUACUUUUCUGUCAUUAAGUGGAACAUGUAUUCAUUUAAACAAAGAUAUUUUUAGCUUAUUCUAGUUAUGAACAACUGUCAAGCAGGUCUCAAAACACAAAAAUACAUGGAAAUGUCAUAAUUCUACUUUCUGGCUGAGGCCUGAAUUUAGUUAUUCUGUUCACAGAAUUGCAGUUCUCAGGAGUGAACAAGGUUUAACUGAACCUAACAAGUGAUCAUUCUUUACAGCUGAACUUCUGGUAGGGCUAGGAUAGGCAUAAUUAGCCAUAGCAUGUCCCUUUUGAGCAAGGCCAUUUACUGAAAGAUGUUUUCCUCAGUUCCCAUCUUGCCCUCUCCACCAUUGCUAGGUCGUGUAUGUACCAAAGACCUUCUGGAGGCAGUGACUCUACCAGAGGGAGCCCCAGCUUUGGCACAAGGGGAAGUGUCUUCUCCCCUCUUAUAUUAGGCUGAGUCUAACAUUGGCUAAGGGCACCAGACCAUAGUGUGAGUUUGACUCUACCCUAAGAUGGACUCUAAAUUCUUCCAGCCCAUGCUGAGUCUUCAUGUCUAGACAUUUUGCUAUUUCUAGACCAGGGAACUUGGCAAAGAUGGCAUAUGCUUUUUUUGUUUGUUUGUUUGUUUUUGGACUUGGCUGCAGAACUCUCUCUCAGGUAGCCAUAGGGUUGGGGUUGGUGCUGAGGAUGGGCUGUUCAUUCAGAGUGAGAAGGACAAGGCUUCCCCUGCCCCAGAUCAGCACUGUGCAGGAUAACUUUCCGAGAUGAUGGAAUAGUCUGUAUCUGUGCUGUCUAAUACAGUGGGUCCUAGCCACGUGUGGCUAUCAAGCACCUGAGAUGUGGCUAGAGAGGUUGAGGAACUCAAUUUUUAACUAAUCUACAUCUAAAUUUAUAUAGCCACAUGGGGCUAGAGGCUCCUGUGUUAGUGCAGUUCUAGAUCGAUUAAUGCUAUUUUAUACUGUUAUUUUUCAUGGGUAGUUCUAAUGAAUCUUUGAUUUUUUCCUUCUGAAUUAUUUCCAGGUGCUCCCUUUAGUUUUCUGGCAAGAAGCUAGGGAGAAGGUGACUUGAGCUCCUCGUGUGUUUUGAUCACUCAACAAAGAAGACAAAAGGGCGUUUCAUAACCUGACAGUGGGAGAGCACAUUAAAAAGGAGCUGAGCUGACCUUUGCACUGUCUAUGAAGAAUGAGUUUCCUAAACUCAUCAUAGCAACAAGAUAUAACGGGGGUUAUUAAGCCACUAAAACUUUUUCUGAAUUCAUAUGCACUUUUUCCCAAAUAGAAUGCUGACGACAAAUAAUUUUAUCAAUCAUUAAAGAAGAUCCCUUCAGAACCUCUCCAGGGAAAUACUUGUAGCUUAGUUCUGGUUAGCACGUAAUGCCACAAGAAUCUGGCAUCAUUUAGACCAGCCAUUUAUUCAGAUAUCAAGAGCAAGAGACUGUAACUGAUUCCCUGACCUCUGACUAAAAACAAAUAUAAACAGUUCUGUGGACUAAAUGUUGUUUAUCCUGGGAAGGAUGUGGUUUUAUCACUGUUGCCCACAGUAACUGGUCAGCCCCUGUGUCUCAGAAGGGAGCUGAGAAGGCUUGAAAGGGUACACCUAC
rnacentral:lncRNA from 1 species